UUUUGAGUGGUCACUGUCAUUGCUGGCAUCUCUAACCUAUUCUUCCAUCUGAGCAGUUAAAGUGUUACAGAGGGGAAAACGAAGUGCUGACUUCUUAAAGGAAUUUAAUCAUUCGUGCUUCCUGAAUCUCAGUUUCAGAGUUACUGUGCAGAGAAAUUAUAAGCAAGUAUCACUGGAGAAU
rnacentral:lncRNA from 1 species